UUUCCUCUUCACAGCUACUGAACACACAGGUCCGCACCAUGGGAUGGAGCUGGAUCAUCCUCUUCCUUGUGUCAGUAAUUACAGGCGUCCAAUCACAUGUCCAGCUGCAGCAGUCUGGGCCUGAGCUUGGCAAACCUGGUUCCUCAGUCAAGUUGUCAUGCAAGGCUUCAGGCUACACCUUCACUGGCUACAAUAUUGGCUGGGUGAAACAAAGGCCUGGACAGGGCCUGGAGUGGAUUGGACGGAUUGGUACAUCAAGUGGUAAUACUGAAUACACACAGAAGUUCCAGGGCAAGGCCACGCUGGCUAGCGACAUAUCCUCCAGCACUGCCUACAUGGAGCUCAGCAGUCUGACAUCUGAGGACUCUGCCAUCUAUUUCUGUGCAAGACACACAGUGUUGCAACCACAUCCUGAGUGUGAAAGAAACCCUGCAAGAGGAGGAAACUGCCCUUGGACUUAG